AUUGAACGCUGGCGGCAGGCCUAACACAUGCAAGUCGAACGAGUGGCGGACGGGUGAGUAAUGUCUGGGAAACUGCCUGAUGGAGGGGGAUAACUACUGGAAAAGGUAGCUAAUACCGCAUACCAUCGGAUGUGCCCAGAUGGGAUGAGCUAGUAGGUGGGGUAACGGCUCACCGAGGCGACGAUCCCUAGCUGGUCCGAGAGGAUGACCAGCCACACUGGAACUGAGACACGGUCCAGACUCCUACGGGAGGCAGCAGUGGGGAAUAUUGCACAAUGGGCGAAAGCCUGAUGCAGCCAGGCCGCGUGUAUGAAGAAGGCCUUCGGGUUGUAAAGUACUUUCAGCGGGGAGGCGUUACCCGCAGAAGAAGCACCGGCUAACUCCGUGCCAGCAGCCGCGGUAAUUC
rnacentral:rRNA from 1 species